CUACGGGGGGCAGCAGUGAGGAAUUUUGCGCAAUGGGCGAAAGCCUGACGCAGCAACGCCGCGUGAGUGAAGAAGGCUCUUGGGUCGUAAAGCUCUGUCAACAGGGAAGAAACAGUUUGUGGUUAAUAGCCACAAGCCUUGACGGUACCUGUGAAGGAAGCACCGGCUAACGUCCGUGGCCAGCAGCCGCGGUAAUACGGGGGGUGCAAGCGUUAUUCGGAAUUAUUGGGCGUAAAGCGCAUGUAGGCGGAAAAGUCAGUCAGAUGUGAAAGCCCGGGGCUCAACCCCGGAAGUGCAUUUGAAACAGCUUUUCUUGAGUACUGGAGAGGAAAGUGGAAUUCCUGGUGUAGAGGUGAAAUUCGUAGAUAUCAGGAGGAACACCGGUGGCGAAGGCGACUUUCUGGACAGAUACUGACGCUGAGAUGCGAAGGCGUGGGGAGCGAACAGGAUUAGAUACCCUCGUAGUC
rnacentral:rRNA from 1 species